AUUGAACGCUGGCGGCAUGCCUAACACAUGCAAGUCGAACGGCAGCACAGUAUGUAGCAAUACAUAUGGGUGGCGAGUGGCGGACGGGUGCGUAAUAUGUAGGGAUCUGCCCUGAAGCGGGGGACAACCCGGGGAAACCCGGGCUAAUACCGCAUAAUACUCUACGGGGGAAAUCUGGCACGCAAGUGCUGGGGCUUUAGGAUGAACCUACAUCCGAUUAGCUAGUUGGUGAGGUAAUAGCUCACCAAGGCAAUGAUCGGUAGCUGGUCUGAGAGGAUGACCAGCCACACUGGGACUGAGGCACGGCCCAGACUCCUACGGGAGGCAGCAGUGGGGAAUAUUGGACAAUGGGGGAAACCCUGAUCCAGCAAUGCCGCGUGGGUGAAGAAGGCCUUCGGGUUGUAAAGCCCUUUAGGCGGGGAAGAAGGUUAUAGGGUGAUAAGCCUUAUAGCUUGACGGUACCCGCAGAAUAAGCACCGGCUAACUCUGUGCCAGCAGCCGCCGCGG
rnacentral:rRNA from 1 species